rnacentral:rRNA from 1 species
AUACGGAGGGUGCAAGCGUUAUUCGGAAUCACUGGGCGUAAAGGACGCGUAGGCGGGUUGGCAAGUCAGAUGUGAAAUCCUACAGCUUAACUGUAGAACUGCAUUUGAAACUGCUAACCUUGAGUAUGGGAGGGGGAGAUGGAAUUAGUGGUGUAGGGGUAAAAUCCGUAGAUAUCACUAGGAAUACCGAAAGCGAAGGCGAUCUCCUGGAACAUAACUGACGCUAAGGCGUGAAAGCGUGGGGAGCAAACAGGAUUAGAAACCCGAGUAGUCC